UACGAAGGGGGCUAGCGUUGUUCGGAAUUACUGGGCGUAAAGCGUGCGCAGGCGGCUUCUCAAGUCAGGGGUGAAAGCCCAGAGCUCAACUCUGGAAUUGCCUUUGAGACUGAGUGGCUUGAGUACGAGAGAGGUGAGUGGAAUUCCCAGUGUAGAGGUGAAAUCCGUAGAUAUUGGGAAGAACACCGGUGGCGAAGGCGGCUCACUGGCUCGUAACUGACGCUCAUGACCACGACAGCGUGGGGAUCAAACAGG
rnacentral:rRNA from 1 species